AUAAAUCUUAGGAGUUAAAAUAGUUAACCAAAUAUUAUUUUUGGAGGAAAGUCCGGGGCUUAAAAUUUAAUAAAUCAUAAUGUAAAACAUCUAAUGAGAAUUAGGGCAAUAUAAAGAAAUAUACUAAUAAAGCGGAUAUUCCGCUAAAUAGUAGAAUAAUUUAACCUAUGAGAAGCCAGGGUAUGAAAGCCCUAGGUUGAAGGCGCAACCUUCAGCCUUUUAUUUAAUACAAUAAUAUUAAAUACAGAUACAUUAACUUAAUAACAAAAUCCGGCUUAUUUAUCUCUAAGAUUUAU
rnacentral:RNase_P_RNA from 1 species